CUUCAAAGUGAGUUGCUAGGCCAGCCACACUGAAGAAGAGUUGGGCAUCACACAGGGCUGGGCCCAGCAGGAGUCACAGCUGCCAUCCCAGAGCUAAGGUCCAUGACAGCAAGUACGUCAUCUGCUCUGUUCACCUCCCUACCCUAGGGACUGACGCAUAGUAGAUGCUCAACAUAUAUAUUUGAAUGAAUGAACAAGGAAAAGGAACUUUCGGCCCUACCAGGGCCGGAUGGGAAGCCCUACAGUGCCUACAGGGAGCCACGUGAACUGACACCCCACUGUCACUCCAGACACGCUGGCCAUCGGGGGCACCCUGGCUUCCCCUGCCUGCAGCCCCUAGACCCCUGCUCCCUGAUCCCAGCCCUCUCACUCCUGACCUUUCUCAGCCCUGCCGCCCGCACCUGCUCUGGUCUCUGGGUCCACUAUCCAAGCUCAGGGUUCUUCCUCCACUGUCCCUACCCACUAGAAUCUUCUUCCGGGACCAGAACACAUUGGUUUGGACAAAGGAUGUGCGGGUUGGGGCUGCCUCUUGCCAUGCAUGCCUCACGGCCAGGAACCCAGCGAGCCUAGUGAAGCACAAGUCCUGAGGCCUGGCAGGCACCAGAGAGCUAAGCUUAAAGUUACCGCCUUGAAGCUGCAGAAGAGGAGAAGCUUCCAGAUGCAUUCUUUCACUCAAUAAGGAAGCUGCUCCACAGUGAAGAUCUCCGCCCAUCGCUCCUCAGACAGGAAGGGUGGAUCUAGGAAUCCCAUCCAAGAAAUCUGGCUUUGGAGUUCACUUUCUUAACUAUUACGGUGGCUGCUCCUCUGAAUAUCUUUUUUAAACCAAUUCACUUUUAUGUCAACUUCUUUUUUAAAAACUUGGUAUCAUGGCUAUCCAUUGAAAAGCUAUAUGACUUGCCAUAAGUAGUAGAGACAUUAAAAUGCAUCAUUAUUACACUUAAAACACAAUAUUUCCUAGAACGAGGCAUCACCGCAUGGCAGUCAGAAUGGCCAUCAUUGAAAAGUCUGCAAAUGGAAUUCCCUGGUGGCCCAGGGUUAAGAUUCCCACUACAGGGGAUGUGGGUUCAAUCCCUGGUUGGGGAACUAAUCAGGACUAACUGUUACAUGCUGUGUUGUGCAGCCAAAAAUCCAGAUCUACAAAUAAUAAAUGCUGCAG
ensembl:lncRNA